ACGGGGGGUCAAUUGACCAGGAAAGGGUGCGCUGAUACCGGAUCCCGUCCGCUCUCCGUUAGUCAAACUGGCAAGGGGCAGAUUAGUAGUUGGGUCGGUGACGACCAGCGAACACCGGCUGCUGUAUGUU
rnacentral:rRNA from 1 species